ACAAGCUAAACCCUAGCGUCUUCCUCUUCUUGAACAAGACCUAAAACCUUAACUUCCAUGGCUGCCCUAUCUUCUUAAACCUACAACAAAAAAGAACCUGAAUACACAAGAACAGCCGUGGCCUUCUUCUUGACAACAAUGGAGAACCAUUGAACUAUAAGAGCUAACCCUCGGUUCCUUCAGCAAUCACCAUUAGAUCCGCCGCCGUUCACAUCCAAAUGACCCGCCUUCUUCACCUUCCGUCGACCACCCUCAUGUGCACACAACAACCAGCUGCUCCCUCACCAUCGGACUCGCCGGAAAAACAGCAACUCCCAUCAGAACGAGUACACAACAUUCGUCGAGGUUGUUAGGUGCGUUCGAGGUCCCGUCACCGGUUCAAGGUUUGGUCAAUAGCUCUUUUUUUUUUUGGUUUGCUGCUUUUGAAAUUUUCAGCCAUCAUACACGGUGAAAAAUACAGAGACAUAAAGGUCCUUCUCUUCUCCCUUCUUACUUACUUGCUUGUUUAUAUGUUGAAUGAUCUAUGAGUAAGACGAGUAGGGCUGCUUAUCGGGCGGAUUGGAUGGUUACUUACUUUUAACAGUUUGGCUUAAUGGUUAUCGACUUUUAAAUGUAUCAAUCCGCUAGCCAUCCAAUAAGAUAUCGGGCGGAUCGGUAUCGGUUUAACUCUUAUCG
rnacentral:lncRNA from 1 species